AUUGAACGCUGGCGGCAUGCCUUACACAUGCAAGUCGAACGGCAGCACGGGAGCAAUCCUGGUGGCGAGUGGCGAACGGGUGAGUAAUAUAUCGGAACGUGCCCGGUCGUGGGGGAUAACGUAGCGAAAGCUACGCUAAUACCGCAUACGAUCUACGGAUGAAAGCGGGGGAUCGCAAGACCUCGCGCGAUUGGAGCGGCCGAUAUCAGAUUAGGUAGUUGGUGAGGUAAAGGCGUCACCAAGCCGACGAUCUGUAGCUGGUCUGAGAGGACGACCAGCCACACUGGGACUGAGACACCGGCCCAGACUCCUACGGGAGCAGCAGUGGGGAAUUUUGGACUAAUGGGCGCAAGCCUGAUCCAGCAAUGCCGCGUGCAGGA
rnacentral:rRNA from 1 species